rnacentral:rRNA from 1 species
CCUACGGGUGGCAGCAGUGAGGAAUAUUGGUCAAUGGACGAGAGUCUGAACCAGCCAAGUAGCGUGAAGGAUGACUGCCCUAUGGGUUGUAAACUUCUUUUAUAUGGGAAUAAAAUGUUCCACGUGUGGGAUUUUGUAUGUACCAUAUGAAUAAGGAUCGGCUAACUCCGUGCCAGCAGCCGCUGUAAUACGGAGGAUCCGAGCGUUAUCCGGAUUUAUUGGGUUUAAAGGGAGCGUAGGUGGAUUGUUAAGUCAGUUGUGAAAGUUUGCGGCUCAACCGUAAAAUUGCAGUUGAAACUGGCAGUCUUGAGUACAGUAGAGGUGGGCGGAAUUCGUGGUGUAGCGGUGAAAUGCUUAGAUAUCACGAAGAACUCCGAUUGCGAAGGCAGUUCACUGGACUGCAACUGACACUGAGGCUCGAAAGUGUGGGUAUCAAACAGGAUUAGAUACCCUAGUAGUC